ACUCCUGCGGGAGGCAGCAGUGGGGAAUAUUGCACAAUGGGCGCAAGCCUGAUGCAGCCAUGCCGCGUGUAUGAAGAAGGCCUUCGGGUUGUAAAGUACUUUCAGCGGGGAGGAAGGCGAUAAGGUUAAUAACCUUGUUGAUUGACGUUACCCGCAGAAGAAGCACCGGCUAACUCCGUGCCAGCAGCCGCGGUAAUACGGAGGGUGCAAGCGUUAAUCGGAAUUACUGGGCGUAAAGCGCACGCAGGCGGUCUGUCAAGUCGGAUGUGAAAUCCCCGGGCUCAACCUGGGAACUGCAUUCGAAACUGGCAGGCUAGAGUCUUGUAGAGGGGGGUAGAAUUCCAGGUGUAGCGGUGAAAUGCGUAGAGAUCUGGAGGAAUACCGGUGGCGGAGGCGGCCCCCUGGACAAAGACUGACGCUCAGGUGCGAAAGCGUGGGGAGCAAACAGGAUUAGAUACCCGAGUAGUCCC
rnacentral:rRNA from 1 species